rnacentral:rRNA from 1 species
UACGGAGGGUGCGAGCGUUGUCCGGAAUCACUGGGCGUAAAGCGCGCGUAGGUGGUUCGUUAAGUUGGAUGUGAAAUCCCCGGGCUCAACCUGGGAACUGCAUCCAAAACUGGCGAGCUAGAGUAUGGUAGAGGGUGGUGGAAUUUCCUGUGUAGCGGUGAAAUGCGUAGAUAUAGGAAGGAACACCAGUGGCGAAGGCGACCACCUGGACUGAUACUGACACUGAGGUGCGAAAGCGUGGGGAGCAAACAGG